rnacentral:rRNA from 1 species
CCUACGUGAGGCAGCAGUGAGGAAUAUUGGUCAAUGGACGAGAGUCUGAACCAGCCAAGUAGCGUGAAGGAUGACUGCCCUAUGGGUUGUAAACUUCUUUUAUAGGGGAAUAAAAUGUUCCACGUGUGGGAUUUUGUAUGUACCAUAUGAAUAAGGAUCGGCUAACUCCGUGCCAGCAGCCGCGGUAAUACGGAGGAUCCGAGCGUUAUCCGGAUUUAUUGGGGUUAAAGGGAGCGUAGGUGGCUUUUUAAGUCAGUUGUGAACGUUUGCGGCUCAACCGUAAAAUUGCAGUUGAAACUGGCAGUCUUGCGUACAGUAGCGUUGGGCGGAAUUCGUGGUGUAGCGGUGAUAUGCUUAGCUAUCACUAAGAACUCCGAUUGCGCAGUCAGUUCACUGUACUGCACCUGACACUGAGGCUCG